UUUCACCUGAAACCCCAGUGGGAUGGAGGCUGGAUGUGGGUGCUGCAGACGUUCUGCAGACCCUGCUUCCCACAGGAUGUCUGUGAGCAGCCUCCUGCUGUUGUGUGGCAGCGGCAGCAUAGCUGGGUCAGGCUUUGCAGAGCUUUGCUGGGUAAGGCAGUGGAGUGCAGCCAUGUCCCCUGUAUGGGAUGAAGGGGGAUGAGGCUGUUGCUGUGCGCCAUGCAGCUCUCGGACGAGGACACUGGGGCUGACACGCUACUCUUGAAAACUGGUACUAAAAUGACUGCUUUAUUUCAGGCAGGGUGCUGCUUACAGCACCCACAUCAGGAGGGGCACAGGAAAGCUGCAGUGUAAGUGCCGAGCCUGGGCUGCUGCUGGUGUAAGCCUGGAGAUCUUUGCUGGAGGAAUGAAGAACCAGUGCAAUGAAACUGGCAUCCUGAACUGAUACAACUCAGAAAGGUAAGCCCUGGCGGCAGCAUAUCUUAGAGGAGCAUCCCACAGCUUGUGCCACACUGACAAGAGGCCAUUGUGCAAUGUCUGCUCUAGUGCCUGACCACCAAGUGACAGCCAUGAACAAGCUGCUUUGCACAACAAAGAAAAUCCUGUGGAAACCAUUCUAGAAGCCUGAAGGAGGACUGAGACUAGAGAUAUAAUGAUUUCAGUGUGUACAACAGAUGGAGACUUCAGAGCAUGGAGCCACUAAUCUAUGGAUUACAGAUUCCCUAAUUAUAGACUGACACUUACCAUUUCUGAGAGGCAGCAUCAGCCAAAGGAGGGACAAAAUCCAAAAGCCAACCUUGACAUUGACUAUAAUAUUAAUCCCAGCAUGAUCCUAUCUUAUUGACUCCUGGGCUUGGAGUAAAUAAAAACUCAUUACUCCUGCUACU